rnacentral:rRNA from 1 species
GUGUGGAGCCGUAGCGUAAGGGAGUUUUAACUGAACGGUCAGUUACUUGACGUAGACCCGAAACCGGGCGACCUACCCAUGAGCAGGAUGAAGCGAAAGUAAAAUUUCGUGGAGGUCCGAACCCACGAGCGUUGAAAAGCGCGGGGAUGACUUGUGGGUAGCGGUGAAAUUCCAAUCGAGCCCGGAGAUAGCUGGUUCUCCCCGAAAUAGCUUUAGGGCUAGCCUCAAGGUGAGAGAUACGGAGGUAGAGCACUGAAUGUCCUAGGGG